rnacentral:rRNA from 1 species
UACGAAGGGGGCGAGCAUUGUUCGGAUUUACUGGGCGUAAAGGGCGCGCAGGCGGCUUUGUUUGUCAGGCGUGAAAGCCCCGGGCUUAACCUGGGAACUGCGUUUGAUACGGCAGGGCUAGAGUUCGGGAGAGGAGCGUGGAAUUCCCAGUGUAGAGGUGAAAUUCGUAGAUAUUGGGAAGAACACCGGUGGCGAAGGCGGCGCUCUGGACCGAGACUGACGCUGAGGCGCGAAAGCGUGGGGAGCAAACAGG